CCCUUAGAUGUUCUGGGCCGCACGCGCGCUACACUGAUGCAUUCAACGAGCCUAUCCUUGACCGACAGGUCCGGGUAAUCUUUGAAUCUGCAUCGUGAUGGGGAUAGAUUAUUGCAAUUAUUAAUCUUCAACGAGGAAUGCCUAGUAGGCGCAAGUCAUCAGCUUGCGUCGAUUACGUCCCUGCCCUUUGUACACACCGCCCGUCGCUCCUACCGAUUGGGUGUGCUGGUGAAAUGUUCGGAUCGGCCGUUUGUCGCGGUUUCCGCGGCUCGUGGCUGAGAAGUUCAUUAAACCCUCCCACCUAGAGGAAGGAGAAGUCGUAACA
rnacentral:rRNA from 1 species